CCUGGCGGCCUUAGCGCGGUGGUCCCACCGACCCCAUGCCGAACUCAGAAGUGAAACGCCGUAGCGCCGAUGGUAGUGUGGGGGUCUCCCCAUGCGAGAGUAGGGAACUGCCAGGC
rnacentral:rRNA from 1 species